rnacentral:ribozyme from 11 species
CGCAUAUACUUAUAAGAUAACAUAAACAGAGAAUGCACAACAAACAAGGCGAAAUACAACAACGAACCCUUCCGGAUUUUUGCUUUUCUCUCUUUUUCUUCUUGUCUUCUUUCUUAUCCUUCCUAUU